GCAAACUUGGUCAUUUAGAGGAAGUAAAAGUCGUAACAAGGUUUCCGUAGGUGAACCUGCGGAAGGAUCAUUACCGAGUUAGGGUGGCUCUGCCGCCCGACCUCCCAACCCUUUGUUUAAACCGACCACCGUUGCUUCGGCGAGCCGCGUCCCCUCGGGGCCGCGCCGGGGGCCUCACCGUCCCUGGAGAGCGCUCGUCGAUAGCCAAAUCUUAAACUCUUUACAAAAUACCUACCUAAAUCUUGUAUAUCUUAAUGAUAAAACAAAACUUUCAACAACGGAUCUCUUGGUUCUGGCAUCGAUGAAGAACGCAGC
rnacentral:misc_RNA from 1 species